GAUAUUCAUAUGCUGCAGAGGAGGAAAGGAAUGAAGAAUAUAAUCCUGAAGAAUCUUCUGAUGAGGAAGAUUAUAGUAUUCAACAGGAGACGUAAAGUGACAGUGAGGAGGAAACAGCUGCAACAAUACAUGAAAUAACGCCGAAACGAAAAGCUCUUCUGGAAAGACUAAGAAAAAAGGCAGAACUACAUGGCGAGCUACAUGAGCACUCUUUCCAAAACGAUCCAGAGUGGCCAAGCAUCAAUGACAUCCCAGGUGACAUAGUUACAUAGUUGCAUAGUUACAUAGUUAGUACGGUCGAAAAAAGACAUAUGUCCAUCAAG